rnacentral:rRNA from 1 species
AUUGAACGCUGGCGGCAGGCCUAACACAUGCAAGUAGAGCGAGCGGCGGACGGGUGAGUAAUGCCUGGGAAUUGCACAGUCGAGGGGGCAAACAGUUGGAAACGACUGCUAAUACCGCAUACGAUUGGAUUGCCCAGUUGGGAGUAGCGAGUUGGGGAGGUAAUGGCUCACCAAGGCGACGAUCCCUAGCUGGUCUGAGAGGAUGAUCAGCCACACUGGAACGGAGAAACGGGCCAUACUCCUACGGGAGGCAGCAUUGGGGAAUAUUGCACAAUGGGGGAAACCCUGAUGCAGCCAGGCCGCGUGUGUGAAGAAGGCCUUCGUGUUGUAAAGCACUUUCAGCGAGGAGGCGUUACUCGCAGAAGAAGCACCGGCUAACUCCGUGCCAGCCGCCGCGGUAAUAC